rnacentral:snRNA from 1 species
AGAUGUGAGGGUGAUCUGGCUGCAACAUCUGUCAUCCCAUUGAUUGCCAGGGUUUAUUCAGCUGAUCUGGCUGGUUAGGCGGGUGUCUCCUUCUUCCCUCACUGCUCCAUGUGCAUCCCUCCCUAAGCUGUGUGCUUGGGAGAAGAGGAAGACCUUCCCUGACUAGAGGAGGACUGGGCUUAGGUCAAGGAUAUAUGAGUAGCUGAGCUCCCCUGCUAGAACUCCAAACAAGCCCAAGGGUCCCUCUCACUUUUUAAGAGAAGGUUAUACUAUGCUGCCAAACACUAAUAAUUUUAUUAUUAUUACACUAACAAUAAAUAAAAAUU